rnacentral:lncRNA from 1 species
ACUCCCUGAUAAACACUGCAGAGAAGAGCAGGGCUGGCCAGGGCUGACUCGCCUGGAUUGUCUAAAAUAUGACAGUGGUUCACGGAGUGGGGCUCUGUGCAUUCGUUAAACGCUAUCGGCAGUUUUUCAGACUUUGCAUGCAUUGUGUAUUUACUAAACUUUGGGGACAAGCUCAGUGAUAUCACUCCCUUAAAGCUGGUCCUUGGUCCCCGCUGUUAACCUGCCUGGAUGAUGCGCGCAGGUGAGGAGUUUCUGGUGCUCUCAGUUCUGCAGGUGCGGAUGGAAUCGUUACUCUGAGUCCCCUCCCUGCAGGGGCGCUGCCUAUUAAAGAGCAUUCCCUACCAGCCACUCACCUUCUCCGCAAGCUGCACACUUUCAUAUCCCCUGCCUUGCCUCUUCUGUGGCGAGGCAACGAUAACGUCGUUGAAUGGCUUGUUAAUGGUGUUUUCACUAAAUGCAUCAGAGAUACGAGUAUUACCCACCAUGAUGAUUCACUCGGGAACGCGUAGGGCUGCCCA